rnacentral:misc_RNA from 1 species
GCGGAAGCAGCAGCAAGCACAAGCUGAGGCGUAUGAGGAAGAUGAAGACAUGCACGGUGGUGCGCAGAGGGUGCAGUGUGCCCAGCAGUAAUCCCUCCUUGAGCUGAAAUUAACCUGAAAUGACUAUACGUAGGUAUGUUUGGGGAUAUGAAUGGGUUGAUGAACUCCACAUCAUGUUAAUGGCAGUUUUUGAUGGUAGCAUUUGGAAUUUCUCAUAUUCUGAAAGCCAUUACUACUGAUACAACAUAAAAAUCAAUCUGUUUCUGAUCUUAUGUGCCAACUGCUAUUUUAAUAUAAAGUUUUU